AGCGAACGCUGGCGGCAGGCCUAACACAUGCAAGUCGAACGAACCCUUCGGGGUUAGUGGCGGACGGGUGAGUAACACGUGGGAACGUGCCUUUAGGUUCGGAAUAACUCAGGGAAACUUGUGCUAAUACCGAAUGUGCCCUUCGGGGGAAAGAUUUAUCGCCUUUAGAGCGGCCCGCGUCUGAUUAGCUAGUUGGUGAGGUAAUGGCUCACCAAGGCUACGAUCAGUAGCUGGUCUGAGAGGAUGACCAGCCACAUUGGGACUGAGACACGGCCCAAACUCCUACGGGAGGCAGCAGUGGGGAAUCAUGCGCAAUGGGCGAAAGCCUGACGCAGCCAUGCCGCGUGGAUGAUGAAGGUCUUAGGAUUGUAAAAUCCUUUCACCGGUGAAGAUAAUGACGGUAGCCGGAGAAGAAGCCCCGGCUAACUUCGUGCCAGCAGCCGCCGUAACAC
rnacentral:rRNA from 1 species